GGGCAAAUGGUCUAGGGGUAUGACGUCUGCUUCGCACCAUUCCACGGUGUAUGCUGAAGGUCCGGGGUUCAAUUCCCCGUUUGUCCA